GACGAACGCUGGCGGCGUGCUUAACACAUGCAAGUCGAACGGUCCUUCCGUUCGGGGUACACGAGUGGUUAACGGGUGAGUAACACGUGGGUGAUCUGCCCUGCACUUCGGGAUAAGCCUGGGAAACUGGGUCUAAUACCGGAUAGGACCACUGCCUGCAUGGGUGGUGGUGGAAAGCUUUUGCGGUGUGGGAUGGGCCCGCGGCCUAUCAGCUUGUUGGGGGGGUGAUGGCCUACCAAGGCGACGACGGGUAGCCGGCCUGAGAGGGUGACCGGCCACACUGGGACUGAGAUACGGCCCAGACUCCUACGGGAGGCAGCAGUGGGGAAUAUUGCACAAUGGGCGCAAGCAUGAUGCAGCGACGCCGCGUGAGGGAUGACGGCCUUCGGGUUGUAAACCUCUUUCAGCACCGACGAAGCGCAAGUGACGGUAGGUGCAGAAGAAGGACCGGCCAACUACGUGCCAGCCGCCGCUGUAA
rnacentral:rRNA from 1 species